rfam:Bordetella petrii strain DSM 12804, complete genome
AUGCUUGCCCCAUGUUCGUCGGCGUUGCCGGCACAUGCCCAGGCAGUCGAGACCUUCGAGGCUGCAAGCGCGGGAAGCCGCGCUGGUCGUUUCUUCCUCCGGACGUACCGCGUCCAUCCACCCACAAGGGACCUUUCCCUUGCGGGA